rnacentral:misc_RNA from 1 species
GGGAAGCCUUUGAUUGGGAGACAAACGAUGGAAACCUUUUGUGGAAAGUUGUUUUGCCUUGCCAAUCCUUUAAUUUGUUCUCAGUGUAUCCAUUAAAUCAAAGAUGCUGCAAUUAAAAUGUCACUUAAGUUUGUGGGUCAAUGCCACAGCUUAUUAGCUUCCCACUUCCAUUGCUAGAGGCAGAAAACAUACCUACAUUGCGCACGCGGAAGCUAUGAAAAGCAGUGGUUCUUGGCAUGAUAAGGAAGAGAACUAACGACAGGAGCACCAAUCGCCAGCAGUGGUCAAGUCUAUGGCAAAACUGUACAAACCUUCCCUCCCUAAAGCAAAUUCAUGCUUCCCUUAUCACCAAAGGCUUCAAUUCAUGCUCAUCAGCCUUAAGAGAACUCAUAUUCGCAAGUGCCAUUGCUGUUUCUGGCACCAUGGACUAUGCCCAUCAACUGUUCGCUCAAAUUGCAGAACCGGAUAUCUUCAUGUGGAACACGAUGAUGAGAGGUUCAGCUCAAAGUCAUAACCCUUUAAAAGCAAUUUCACUCUAUUCCCAUAUGGAGAGAAGUGGUAUGAAGGCUGAUAAGUUCACGUUUUCGUUCUUGCUUAAGGCUUGUACCAGGCUUCAAUGGAGAAAAACGGGUUUUUGUAUUCAUGGAAAGGUCGUCAAAUAUGGGUUUCAUGAAAAUAAGUUUGUGAGAAAUACCCUUAUUUAUCAUCAUGCUAAUUGUGGGGAUUUGGGGAUAGCUAGAGCCAUUUUUGAUAAUUCGGGAGAAAGUGAUAUUGUUGCUUGGUCUGCUUUAACUGCAGGUUAUGCAAGGAGAGGGCAGUUGAGCGUGGCGAGACAGCUGUUUGAUGAAAUGCCAGUUAAGGAUUUGGUUGCUUGGAAUGUGAUGAUUACAUCAUAUGCUAAGAUAGGGAAGAUGGAGUGUGCAAGGAGACUCUUUGAUGAGGUUCCUAAAAGGGAUGUUGUGACUUGGAAUGUGAUGAUUGCAGGAUAUGUGCUUUGUGGGGAGAACAGGCAGGCACUGGAAAUGUUUGAGGAGAUGAGAGGUGUAGGAGAGCAGCCAGAUGAGGUCACUAUGCUGAGUCUUUUGUCAGCUUGCACAGAUUUGGGUGAUUUGGAUGUUGGCAUGAAGGUCCAUCGCUCAAUUUUGGAGAUGAGUUUAGGAGAUCUGAGUGUAUUACUAGGGAAUGCCCUUAUAUACAUGUACGCCAAGUGUGGGAGUAUUGAACGAGCACUUGAAGUGUUCAGAGGGAUGAGGGAGAAAGAUGUUUCAACGUGGAAUUCAGUUAUAGUAGGUUUGGCUUUUCAUGGCCACGCUGAGGAGUCGAUCAAUUUGUUUGCAGAGAUGCGAAGGUUAAAAAAUAUCAGCCCAAAUGAAAUUACUUUUGUUGGAGUGCUAGUUGCUUGCAGUCAUGCUGGUAAAGUUGAAGGGGGGCGUCAAUAUUUUAAUCUUAUGAAAGAUGUGUAUGGCAUAGAGCCAAAUGUAAGACACUAUGGGUGUAUGGUGGAUCUUUUAGGGCGUGCAGGGCUAUUGAAUGAUGCAUUUGAGUUCAUAGAAAAUAUGAAUAUUGAACCUAAUGCUGUAAUUUGGAGGACUCUACUGGGGGCUUGUAGAAUACAUGGAAAUGUUGAGCUGGGUAGGCUUGCAAAUGAGAAACUACUUGAGAUGAGAAGGGAUGAGAGUGGGGAUUAUGUGUUACUUUCCAACAUAUAUGCUUCAGUAGGUGAGUGGGAUGGGGUUCAGAAGGUUAGGAACUUAAUGGAUGAUAGUGGAGUGAGGAAAGAACCUGGCUGUAGCAUAAUUGAAGCAGAUGAAGAAAAAGCUCUCAUGCAAUUUUUGUUUGAUUCAAAGCGCAAGUUAAACUCGAGAAAUCAAAUAUCAUGAGCUGCAAGUUUUGGUAAGACAUGCUUUCGUGUCUCUCGCUCAUAUGCUACUGGAAUACAAAUACAACUGAAUACUAUAUGUUGAUAAUGAUGGCCUCACUCAGUCUCGAUUUUAGAGAAGGCAUUUUCGACCUUUUCCCCUCUAAUAUUCCUUUGGAACUAUGACUGACAAACAAGAAUAAUGAGGAUUUGAUAGUAAAAUUGCUGGAUUAUUAUGUCAACAAAGAUUGAGUUUUUUGUUAUAAUACACCCUAGGGGGCUUAAAGUAUGACAUCCCAUGGCAGCUGGGAUUUGAUUAUUUGAAUACUGUGUUUCUAUACAUUUCUGGUGCUGAGUCAUAUUAAUUUUUCGUUAAGUUGAAGUUGUCCAAUGAGCUCUUCUUAAACUUAGUUGACCAGAGUGGUUGUACCAUUUUAUAUAUUAUAUUUAUAUGCAAAAGCAGCAAUUGGCUUA